rnacentral:rRNA from 1 species
UACGGAGGAUCCAAGCGUUAUCCGGAUUCAUUGGGGUUAAAGGGUGCGUAGGCGGAUUGAUAAGUCAGUGGUGAAAUCCUGCAGCUUAACUGCAGAACUGCCAUUGAUACUGUCAAUCUUGAGUACAUUUGAUGUGGGCGGAAUGUGUCAUGUAGCGGUGAAAUGCUUAGAUAUGACACAGAACACCGAUUGCGAAGGCAGCUCACAAAACUGUAACUGACGCUGAGGCACGAAAGCGUGGGUAUCAAACAGG